UUCUUUGUUGUUCAGUCAUUCAGUCUUGUCUAAUCCUUCAUGAGCCACACACCACAGCAUGCCGGGUUCCUCUAGCAUUUACAAUCUCUUGAAGAGAAAGAAUAAGAAUCUUCUUCUUCUUCUGGGCUAUCUGAAUGAGCAAGGUCGGUUUAUUAGAGCAGCUAUGUUGUCCGGGGGUAAGAGUGAUAUACUUGGACUCAAGACGAUCUGAAUUUGAAUCCUUCCUCAGAAACUUCAUAGUGUUGUGAUUUUGGGGAAUUCAUUUUCUCAGUUUCCAAUUCCAUAAUUAUGAAGUGAGAAUAAUAAUAUCUUUUCCCAGGGUAGUUGUGGGUAUAAAAUGAGAUAACAUAUUUAUAACAUUCUGCAAACCUUAUUUAGAUUGUUAUAAAAAAAUCUAGUUAUGAUUAUGAUUAUUUAGGGUCUGAGGAAAGCUAACAUUGAAACAUUAUUGAAACAAAAGCAACCAGUUUCCCCUGCUACAAUCAUCUCCCACUUUCACUUCUACUCACCCCAUUCAAGAGCCUCAUUCAUAAAAGAGCUGGAGCUUUGCUUCUUGGAGAGGGAUUGGUCCUUAUAUAAACCAAUCCUGUUCCUGGAAGUAUGGGGGCGUGGUUUCUCUCUAGCACGGGAUUGGACCAUUCAGGACUAAUCCCACACCAGGAAAUAGCGUGGAGGGAGCCCUGGGGCAUUCCGGAAAAUGCAGUCCCUGGCCAGGAUACAUUUAAAAAUCAACAGGUCCAGCUCUUCUAAUGAUAAAACAAAAGAGAUCUUUGAAGAUUCGAAGGUUUUAAAAGUUAUUGGAUAUGAAGUCUUUCAUCAGUUUCCCAGGCAAAUCCCAGAUCAACUGAAAGAAGAGUCUAAAUUGGGAGCCAGGGAAGAAUGUCACAGGUUCACAGCUCCACAAGGAAGCCAUCAAAGAAAUGAUAUGUCCUAAGAGAACUUCUUGAGUACUCCAUGAAUAGUCAAAAGGAAUCAUAGAGAUCAGGAACUCUGAGUGACCCCUUGCCAAAAUUGUUCUCUAAGACUGAGUUCUCUUUCUCCUGGAUCUUGUAUUGUUUAGUGGGUCAUUUGUUCUUAUUGUACAACUUUAGAAAAUAUCCCUAUCUAGAUGAUACUAAAUGGAUAAUCUAUAGGGAAAAGCAUAUUAGUGGGGACAGCCGGUAUUAGAGAAUGAUCUUUCUCCAACUCCUCAGGGAUACCCCUAGUAUGUAGAAAGACUUAUGCAUAGCCUUACUCAAGGACUCAAUUUAUUCAUAUUAGUGGGAUUUGAAUAAGCAUUAUUAAGAGAUUAUUUGGUUA